UACGUAGGGGGCAAGCGUUGUCCGGAUUUAUUGGGCGUAAAGAGCGUGUAGGCGGUUUGGUAGGUCCGCUGUGAAAACUCGAGGCUCAACCUCGAGACGCCGGUGGAAACCAUCAGGCUAGAGUCCGGAAGAGGAGAGUGGAAUUCCUGGUGUAGCGGUGAAAUGCGCAGAUAUCAGGAUGAACACCCGUGGCUAAGGCGGCUCUCUAGUACGGUACUGACGCUGAGACGCGAAAGCGUGGGGAGCGAACAGG
rnacentral:rRNA from 1 species